rnacentral:tRNA from 1 species
GCCUGGGUGGCUCAGCGGAUUAAGCAUCCGACUUCGGCUCAGGUCAUAAUCUCGUGGCUUGUGGGUUCGAGCCCCGCCUCAGGCU